AUUGAACGCUGGCGGCAGGCCUAACACAUGCAAGUCGAGCGGCAGCACGGGAGCUUGCUCCUGGUGGCGAGCGGCGGACGGGUGAGGAACACGUGGGAAUCUACCUAUUGGUGGGGGAUAACUUGGGGAAACUCAAGGUAAUACCGCAUUAUCCCUACGGGGGAAAGCAGGGGACCUUCGGGCCUUGCGCCGAUAGAUGAGCCCGCGUCGGAUUAGCUAGUUGGUAGGGUAAAGGCCUACCAAGGCGACGAUCCGUAGCUGGUCUGAGAGGAUGAUCAGCCACACUGGGACUGAGACACGGCCCAGACUCCUACGGGAGGCAGCAGUGGGGAAUAUUGGACAAUGGGGGCAACCCUGAUCCAGCCAUGCCGCGUGUGUGAAGAAGGCCUUAGGGUUGUAAAGCACUUUCAGUGGGGAGGAAGGCUUCUGGCUAAUAACCUGGAGUACUUGACGUUACCCACAGAAGAAGCACCGGCUAAUUU
rnacentral:rRNA from 1 species